UAAAAAGAAUAAUUAAGCAUAGUAUGAAAGUUGAAAAAAUGAAGAAGAAAAAACCUCGACGGUAUAUAGCCAAUAACGUCACUUGUCCUUAUGCGCUGUUUAUGUUACAGUCAUGACAACGUAACAAGAAAUGGAAAUAUUCAGUCAAAACAACUCAUUUGACAUACUUGUACUGAAGUUAUUUUUUUUUUUUAAAUUCUAACAGAUUAUUAUUGCAAAUAAAGGGAAAAAUCCUAAUCUAAACGCUAACACUUUUAAAUAAGUAUACAUACUUACAUCCAACACACACCGACACCUUGCUCGUAAUGAUUAACUUAUGAAAAAUGUACAUUUUAGUCCUUUCCAUAGCCUACAUCAUAGAUAUUGCCUAUUCAUCUAAUGGAAAUAUACAUCUAUACCUUCUUUUUUUAUUAUUCAUGCAUGUGAGACACUCAAAUGUGAACAAAACUUAAUUCUUUUAGAUUAUAUACAUGUAAUACAUCUACGUGAAAAAGAUAGAGAGAGAGAAAAUACACACAAAUCCCGUGCGCUUUAGCCAUUUUUCACACACAUAUACUUUGGCUGAAUGCGGACAUGUAUGUGAAAAAGAUAGAGAAAAAAACACAAAUCCCGUGCGCAUUAUACCACCUUCAUACUCACGGAUUUUUCUUACGAGUCCUUACGGAUCUCCGACUCAUAGUCAAUCACAAGCAUUCGUAAAUCACUCGUCGGUAUCCGUGUCUAAAUCGUAACUUUAUGGAUUUGUGGAAUACGUAAGGGUCCGUAAGAAAAAUCCGUGAAUGUGAAGAUACCAUUAGCCAUUGUUCACACACGUAUACCUAGGCUGAAGGCGGACACGCUUACAUAGGGAAAUAAAUGUACAUUGUAUUUAGGUUGUAAAACAGUUCUAAUUCAUAAAACAAAAACAAAAACCCAAUCACAGAUUUAUUUACUUUUUCCACGUAAAUAUAGUUAUGUAUCGUUAUAUAAUUUAUUUGCGCAAUACACACGCACACUAAUGUCAAAUGACGUCAAAAUGCAUUUUUAUCGCGUGUAACUUGUAAAAUGCAUUACUAUCAUGAAGAAAUAGGUCUAUGCCCUAUGCCCGUACCUAAAUAUGAUCGUAAGAAUAAAUGAAGCAAAUGUUUAAACCUUUCCGAAUAUGAUAUACGUUUUUAAAUAUUGUGUUUAUCAGAAAAGAUUUUACUAACAGAAUAUAACACAAUUUUUGUCAUUUCGGCUUAAUUUUCCUACUUUCCGGUAACGAUGUGCGAUUUUAAAUGCGUGUUUUCAACUAGUUCCCAACAUCGCACAGAAAAACUUUGAGUAGAAAAAUUGUUUAAUUUUUACUCUACUUUUAGAAAAUAUGAUUUGUUUCAUCAUAUUCCAAUUCUUAACAAAACGCCCCCAAUUUAAUCCCGUCGGCACAUAAAAGGCGUCACUGGGCGUUAAAGGGUUAAACUACACACAUGCAUAUAUUAGUAAAAUUUUGGUGAAUACAUAAUUUUACGUAACAAUGAAAACAACAAGACAUAUAGGCAAAUUAAAGGUGCAAUGGUUAAAAACUGAAUUAGAUAUAAAGGGAAAAAAGUGGUGACUGGAUUUUUGCUACAUUGCGUUCAAGAAGACGCGGAACACUGGUUGUGCCGUGGAAACAUUGAAUUCUGAUUCGGUUCAUUUCAAUAUCAAGUAAAAAGCUUAUCAUCUUUUCAACUAAAUCGCCCUCGUUGAGCCGCAUAUCAUGUAGUUCAAUUUCAUUAAUAUCACCAAGAUCAAAAGUCGCCGCUUGCUCAGUCAUGUUAUCGAACUCGUAAAGCAGACGAUAUAUACCGGAAACUCGUGUGUAUCCGUGUCAUCGCUAUCUGUGUUGUUUCUUUAAUAUGAUUUUGUGUUUCAUUUACACGGUUGGUUUUUUGGUAGCAAUGGAAUAAAACAAACAUAUACAUUUUGGUUACGAUGAUUUUGUGUAAAUCCCCGUUCUAUAAAUAGCGCUAAAAUCAGAACGGGGAAGACGCAUUCCAGAGAAAAGUAGCCCUUGUGCUUAGUGCAGAUGAAAUCGGGACGAAUGUUUUGAAAAUGCCAAGAAAUCAAACCAAUUUUUCAUCCAUACAGCAUCGUUAAGUCAUCACUUUAUUUUUCAAAUGAUUUAACAAAACGCUGAAAUCGACAUGGAUCAAUGCAAAAAUUACGUUCCAUUCCAUUUUUCGUUCCGUCUUCUAGCAAGGCCUCCUUGAAAAUUACUUCCUGUGACGGGGAAUUGCUGACCCCCAUACGUGUGGUGUAAUUCUAAAUCAAUUUGAGAACUGUCAACGCUAAUUACUGAAUAUUGGACAUUGACAGGACAUGUGAGGUGACAGAGAGAAGGACAGAAUUAAACACGUUGUUGAUCGGGUAACGAAUUUUCCUACUUUCGGUUUGAAACAUGCUCUGUAAACAAACCUGCAAGCAAUACUGUAUGCACUCUCCUUAAAUGUCUUCACAUCCGAAGACAUCAAACCAGGAUCUUCAUCCCCUGGUAGGCAUUUUCACUUGUCAGUUCCAGGGGUUGGUCUUCGGCACCAAAUGUAACAACACGGUAGAUAAUGCAACGGAUCAAACCGGGAUUCAAACCCGAGCCCCCUGAAUUUCUCUAGUCAGGUGCUCUACCAACUGAGCUAACUGGCCAUCGGCUAUCGAAUUCGGCUGACCUCUACAACAAUAUAAAUCAUCUAGGGCAACGUUUUAGUACCAAUACUGCAUCGUAAAUCGUCAUCAGGGUGUUAUAAAACAUGGAUAAAAAAACCGGAACAGAACAAGGAAAUUUCUGUUAAUACAUAUUACGUUAGAAAGACGGUGUAUUGUAAAACCAAAAGGCUUGUUAUGAACAAGGGACGCAAAAAUUAUAUUUUUUUCUAAUUACAGUUCCAACGUUUCAUAUACAUAUACUUGACAAAGUAUACCAAUGUAUAUGCAUUCUAAAAUUAUCAUAUUUGUGACAUUAUGUUGUUUUAUGAAAAAAAAGAAUACCUUAAAAGACAAA